UUCUUUUUUUUUUUUUUUUUUAAAUGUAUGAGUGCACUGUUGCUAUCUUCAGAAACAUCAGAAGAGGGCAUCGGAUCCCAUUACAGAUGGUUGUGAGCCACCAUGUGGUUGCUAGGAAUUGAACUCAGGACCUCUGGAAGAACAGUCAGUGCUCUUAACCACUGAGACAUCUCUCCAGACUGGCUGGUAUUUUUUUUAGGGGGUAGGGGGGCUUCAUAUUAAACUUGUAAUUUUUAUUAGAUUUGAUUUUUAACAAACGUGUCAGGGAGAAAGCCCACAGGAAAGGGUAAAGCCUGUGGAGGCAAGGCCUUCCUAGAUGCCUGAGGAGGGAUCGUGUCCCCUCCCCCCCUUCUCGUCACAGGCAGGGAAGGGGGCUGGUCCCUAGUCUGUACAGUGGUGCUUGGGGGUGAAGGACUAUGGAGAACAGGGGACCAGAUGGGUUUGAGUGGGAUAAAGGGCACAAGACCAUUUGCCAGAAUCCACAGCUUUCUGAUUCCAACUUGAAAUAAAAAGAAAAAGGGAGAGGGGAACCUAAACCACAGGCAGUACCCACUCCCUUUCCCCCAUCAGGGCUGUGAGAGAAGAGGCAGGUAGCUUCACCAAGGCCAUGGCUCCCUCAUGCCUGGCCAAGGGAGCUAGGUGAAGGGCAGGGUCUCCCCGCCAGUUUGAAGGGGUGAGGAAAACCAAAAUCAAACGUCAAAUACAUUGGAUAGGAGUCCAGCCAACUGCUCAGCCAGAGCUAGGGGAGGGCCCUCUGUUGGCUCAUGGAUCACUGCUGCCACCACCGCCACCUGGUAGCCAGUUAUUUUGCCAUGGUCUUGACUGAGUGAUAUUUUUAAAAUAGGCACAUAUAUUGUUUUGUUGAGUCAGAGUCUCUCUCUAUAGACCUGGCUGGCCUGGAAUUCACUGUGUUGACCAGGCUGGCCUGGAAAUCAUAAAGAUCUGAUUGCCUCUGCCUUCCAGGUGCUAGGAUUAAAGGCGUAUGCACAUGCCUGGCUCUAAGUAAUCUUCAUUACCUAAAGAAACAGGUUUUUAACAAUUCUAUGCCGGAAGUGGUGGCACAUACUAUUAAUCCCAGCACUUGGAAAGAAGAAGCGGACAGAUCUUUGUGAGUUCAAGUCCAGUUCUUGGUCUACAGAUCAAGUUCCAGAGCAGUCAGAACUACACAGAGAAACCCUGUCUCAGAAAAACAAAACAACACAAAACACCACCACCACCAAAAUUCUGUUAAAUUUCCAAUCCUGACCUUGUAAUAUGACAGGGCUGUUACCAUCUAGAAUUUAUAAGACUCAGUUCCAUAAGUGGCAAUACACACUUGAAAUGCCAACACUUGGGAUUCAGAUACAGGAGGAACAGUAGUUUAAAACUAGGUAUUUUACUAAAGGAAAAGGGGCUUUUUUUUUUUUUUAAAGAAAGAUAUCAUUCCAUUUUUGGAAAUGUCUAUUCUUGUA
rnacentral:lncRNA from 14 species